AAACCUUGAUGAGGGCACUGUCUUUGAAGAAUCUUGAAUCUAUCCCAUGCUUCAAAUAGUGAUUUUCCAUGUGCCUGAGCAAAAUUCGUGAUGCAAUUCCUCAUAU